rnacentral:rRNA from 4 species
AAAUUGAAGAGUUUGAUCAUGGCUCAGAUUGAACGCUGGCGGCAGGCCUAACACAUGCAAGUCGAACGGUAACAGGAAGCAGCUUGCUGCUUCGCUGACGAGUGGCGGACGGGUGAGUAAUGUCUGGGAAACUGCCUGAUGGAGGGGGAUAACUACUGGAAACGGUGGCUAAUACCGCAUAACGUCGCAAGACCAAAGAGGGGGACCUUCGGGCCUCUUGCCAUCAGAUGUGCCCAGAUGGGAUUAGCUUGUUGGUGAGGUAACGGCUCACCAAGGCGACGAUCCCUAGCUGGUCUGAGAGGAUGACCAGCCACACUGGAACUGAGACACGGUCCAGACUCCUACGGGAGGCAGCAGUGGGGAAUAUUGCACAAUGGGCGCAAGCCUGAUGCAGCCAUGCCGCGUGUAUGAAGAAGGCCUUCGGGUUGUAAAGUACUUUCAGCGGGGAGGAAGGUGUUGUGGUUAAUAACCGCAGCAAUUGACGUUACCCGCAGAAGAAGCACCGGCUAACUCCGUGCCAGCAGCCGCGGUAAUACGGAGGGUGCAAGCGUUAAUCGGAAUUACUGGGCGUAAAGCGCACGCAGGCGGUCUGUCAAGUCGGAUGUGAAAUCCCCGGGCUCAACCUGGGAACUGCAUUCGAAACUGGCAGGCUUGAGUCUUGUAGAGGGGGGUAGAAUUCCAGGUGUAGCGGUGAAAUGCGUAGAGAUCUGGAGGAAUACCGGUGGCGAAGGCGGCCCCCUGGACAAAGACUGACGCUCAGGUGCGAAAGCGUGGGGAGCAAACAGGAUUAGAUACCCUGGUAGUCCACGCCGUAAACGAUGUCUACUUGGAGGUUGUGCCCUUGAGGCGUGGCUUCCGGAGCUAACGCGUUAAGUAGACCGCCUGGGGAGUACGGCCGCAAGGUUAAAACUCAAAUGAAUUGACGGGGGCCCGCACAAGCGGUGGAGCAUGUGGUUUAAUUCGAUGCAACGCGAAGAACCUUACCUGGUCUUGACAUCCACGGAAGAAUUCAGAGAUGGAUUUGUGCCUUCGGGAACCGUGAGACAGGUGCUGCAUGGCUGUCGUCAGCUCGUGUUGUGAAAUGUUGGGUUAAGUCCCGCAACGAGCGCAACCCUUAUCCUUUGUUGCCAGCGAUUAGGUCGGGAACUCAAAGGAGACUGUCAGUGAUAAACUGGAGGAAGGUGGGGAUGACGUCAAGUCAUCAUGGCCCUUACGACCAGGGCUACACACGUGCUACAAUGGCGCAUACAAAGAGAAGCGACCUCGCGAGAGCAAGCGGACCUCAUAAAGUGCGUCGUAGUCCGGAUUGGAGUCUGCAACUCGACUCCAUGAAGUCGGAAUCGCUAGUAAUCGUGGAUCAGAAUGCCACGGUGAAUACGUUCCCGGGCCUUGUACACACCGCCCGUCACACCAUGGGAGUGGGUUGCAAAAGAAGUAGGUAGCUUAACCUUCGGGAGGGCGCUUACCACUUUGUGAUUCAUGACUGGGGUGAAGUCGUAACAAGGUAACCGUAGGGGAACCUGCGGUUGGAUCACCUCCUUACCUUAAAGAA